rnacentral:rRNA from 1 species
UUGGAGGGCAAGUCUGGUGCCAGCAGCCGCGGUAAUUCCAGCUCCAAUAGCGUAUAUUAAAGUUGUUGUGGUUAAAAAGCUCCUAGUUGAAUGUCGAGAUCAAAUUGUUGGUCGUGCCUCGGUACGUACUGGCAUUAUUGAUUGUCCCUUCUGAAGAACCACGAUGUCAUUAAUUUGGUGUCGUGGGGAAUCAGGACUGUUACUUUGAAAAAAUUAGAGUGUUUAAAGCAGGC